AUUGAACGCUGGCGGCAUGCUUUACACAUGCAAGUCGAACGGUAACAGGCCUUCGGGUGCUGACGAGUGGCGCACGGGUGGGUAAUGCAUCGGAACGUACCCAGAGGUGGGGGAUAACGCAGCGAAAGCUGUGCUAAUACCGCAUGUGAUCUGAGGAUGAAAGCGGGGGACCGAGCAGCAAUGUUUGGCCUCGCGCCUUUGGAGCGGCCGAUGUCGGAUUAGCUAGUUGGUGGGGUAAAGGCCUACCAAGGCGACGAUCCGUAGCUGGUCUGAGAGGACGACCAGCCACACUGGGACUGAGACACGGCCCAGACUCCUGCGGGAGGCAGCAGUGGGGAAUGUUGGACAAUGGGCGCAAGCCUGAUCCAGCAAUGCCGCGUGCGGGAAGAAGGCCUUCGGGUUGUAAACCGCUUUUGGCAGGAACGAAACGGUGUCCGCUAAUACCGGGCGCUAAUGACGGUACCUGCAGAAUAAGCACCGGCUAACUACGUG
rnacentral:rRNA from 1 species